GCCGCUGAGCUAAAUCCCCAGCCCCCAAGCUAGAUGGUUUCUAAGAUGUCUUCUGACUCUAAAGAACUACAGCUCUGUUGCUAGCAUUCUGAAGACAUUUUUUUUUUAAAUUUUAGCCCGAAGUCCAAGUAGACCAGUAUCCCUAUGGCUCAGUCUCCCUUCUGCAAGAUGGAUAUUGGGUUAUAUUAUGACAUCAUGCACAAUGACAUCACCCACUUUCUCCUCUAACCACUGUGAAGCUCACUGUAGGCCAAUGCCCAAUCUGAGUCAUGCAGCCUGGAUUAUCUCUCAUUGUAAGCAGAUGAGACCCUCUCUCCUUGCUGCCUCCCUAAGGAAGCUUACUAGUAGUAGGGAGAUCUAAGGCCAAAACCACUGACAUGGUCAUGGCCUGCCUGCUCCUCUGCUGUUCUAGCCAUUCCCACUUCGGAGACACGGCCACUGAGGCAAGAGAAAUAUAUUUCACCUGAGCCCAUAUGAGUCUGUCCUCACAACCCCUGCAGCCAGACUUCCUGAGCACACAAAGGUACCUCGAAGUCCAAUGAUAAAUGUCCCUGUAAGAAAGAGAAGAGAAGACCAGAAGCAGAGGCUGGAGUGAUGCAGCCAUGAGGAAUGGCUGGAACUGCAAGAAGAGGCAAAGGAUUCUUUCCUUGAGCCCUCAGAAAUAGCAUGGCUCUGUCUGUACUUUGAUUUCAGAAUUCUGGCCUCCUGAACUACCAGAGAAUACAUUUCCAUUGUCUCAAG